rnacentral:rRNA from 1 species
CCAGACUCCUACGGGAGGCAGCAGUGGGGAAUAUUGCACAAUGGGGGAAACCCUGAUGCAGCGACGCCGCGUGGAGGAAGAAGGUCUUCGGAUUGUAAACUCCUGUCCUUGGGGACGAUAAUGACGGUACCCAAGGAGGAAGCACCGGCUAACUCCGUGCCAGCAGCCGCGGUAAUACGGAGGAUGCGAGCGUUAUCCGGAUUUAUUGGGUUUAAAGGGUGCGUAGGCGGAAUGCCAAGUCAGCGGUAAAAUCGCGGGGCUCAACCUCGCUCCGCCGUUGAAACUGGCGUUCUUGAGUGGGCGAGAAGUAUGCGGAAUGCGUGGUGUAGCGGUGAAAUGCAUAGAUAUCACGCAGAACUCCGAUUGCGAAGGCAGCAUACCGGCGCCCAACUGACGCUGAAGCACGAAAGCGUGGGUAUCGAACAGGAUUAGAUACCCUAGUA